rnacentral:rRNA from 1 species
GGGAAUCUUGGACAAUGGGCGCAAGCCUGAUCCAGCCAUGCCGCGUGAGUGAAGAAGGCCUUAGGGUUGUAAAACUCUUUCGCCGGAGAAGAUAAUGACGGUAUCCGGAGAAGAAGCCCCGGCUAACUUCGUGCCAGCAGCCGCGGUAAUACGAAGGGGGCUAGCGUUGUUCGGAAUUACUGGGCGUAAAGCGCACGUAGGCGGGUUUGUAAGUAGAGGGUGAAAUCCCAGGGCUCAACCCUGGAACUGCCUUCUAAACUGCAAGCCUGGAGGUCAGGAGAGGCGAGUGGAAUACCGAGUGUAGAGGUGAAAUUCGUAGAUAUUCGGUGGAACACCAGUGGCGAAGGCGACUCGCUGGACUGAUACUGACGCUGAGGUGCGAAAGCGUGGGGAGCAAA